rnacentral:tRNA from 1 species
UGGCUGAGCGGUAAGGCGCUUGGUUUUUGAACCGGGAGACCCGGGUUCGAAUCCUGG